UACGUAGGGACCAAGCGUUGUUCGGAUUUACUGGGCGUAAAGGGUGCGUAGGUGGUGAGGUAAGUCGGAUGUGAAAUCUCCGAGCUCAACUCGGAAAUGGCAUUGGAAACUACCUUGCUCGAGGGUUGGAGGGGGGACUGGAAUGCUUGGUGUAGCAGUGAAAUGCGUAGAUAUCAAGCGGAACACCAGUGGCGAAGGCGAGUCCCUGGACAACUCCUGACACUGAGGCACGAAAGCUAGGGGAGCAAACAGG
rnacentral:rRNA from 1 species